GUGGUGACUUAGAUUAUGACCUCCCUUGACAUCUAAUUGUAUUAAAUCUAUAAUCAUGAUUCUCAAUAUAAUUGUUGUUUGUAAACCUACAGGAUCUGCGGUCUUUGCGUGCUUUAAUUGUUUCUGUAUGCCAAACGAUUCGUUUUUCAGAGGCUGCAACAAAUAGACAUUAGAAAAAUAUUAUUCUUCCAUUAAACAAAGAGGGAUUGGUCCAAUCACAGACAGUAGCA
rnacentral:lncRNA from 1 species